UGGCUAAUGGUAAAGUGGUAUCCAAACA
rnacentral:piRNA from 1 species